CCUUGUCUUUCUUUUUUUCUCUUUUUUCUCUUUUUUUGUCUUUCCUUUUCAAACAAAAGACAAAAUGGCGAUGGAGUCUGUUCGUUGGGGGGAUGCUGUAGAAAAUGAAGAAGAUGAUCGUGAGUUUUACCAUGAUUCUG
rnacentral:ribozyme from 13 species